CCACCUUGUCCUCACGGUCCAGUUUUCCCAGGAAUCCCUUGGAUGCUAAGAUGGGGAUUCCUGGAAAUACUGUUCUUGAGGUCAUGGCU
rnacentral:pre_miRNA from 7 species